rnacentral:rRNA from 1 species
UACGUAGGGUGCAAGCGUUGUCCGGAAUUAUUGGGCGUAAAGAGCUCGUAGGCGGUCUGUCGCGUCUGCUGUGAAAACUCAGGGCUUAACCCUGAGCUUGCAGUGGGUACGGGCAGACUAGAGUGCGGUAGGGGAGACUGGAAUUCCUGGUGUAGCGGUGAAAUGCGCAGAUAUCUGGAGGAACACCGGUGGCGAAGGCGGCGUCCUGGACCAACACUGACACUGAUGAGCGAAAGCCAGGGGAGCAAACGGG